UUCUCUAUAAUGAUAUCAUUUGGGCUCUAAAUUUUAGGAAGAGAAGGCAGGGAGAAACGAAAAGAGGGUCAGAGCUGAGUGCAGAUAAAUUGCCACAUUUAUGGGUCAAAUAGAAGAGGGGAAGCUGACAAAAGCAGCCAAGAAGGAGCUAGGGAGAAAAGAAAGUCUGGGAUGCCACAGGAGACAAGCGAUGAGACCGUUUCAGGACCGAGAAGGUGUCUCUAUCAAAUUCUGCUGAGAAGUCAAGUACAUAAAGACUGAAAUGAGUAUUGGAUUAACAACAUGGCGGGCAUGGGGUCCUUUCUAAGGGCAGUUUGGGUGGAGCAGUGUGGAUAGAAGGCAAGUUGUAGUACGUAAAAAAACAAAUGGAAGAUAGGAAUGGAAAAUAAUAUGUGAAGACAAUUGUUCCAAGAAGUUUUAUUGAUGAGAGAGAGAAAACUAGAGCAAUAGCUAGAAGAGAACACGGGGUUAAAGAGGAUAUUUUAGAGCUGUGUGAUAUGAAGUGUGUCUAUGUAUAGAUGUGAACAAUGGAUUGACGGGUGGGAUGGGGAGAAAUAACAAUAGAAGGAAUUGAAGAUGAAUAGAGAAAGAAGAGGAAGGGAAAGAACAAGUAGGAAAGUGGUGACACUCAGAGAAUGGAGCCAAGAAGACUUUGAAGCCCACAGCCAGAGCAGCCCCUAGCCAUGCCCAGAUCAAGACGGGCCAGGAGGCUCCUUUGCAACCCACGGGGCAGAGAGGAGCUGCUAGCUGCUGCUUGUGGACGGGGAAGCCGUCGCUCUGGCUAAGCGGUUAAUCAGUCAGUUGGUAGCCAGAUCCUGGCCCCUGGCCAGUCACAUAUUAGAAGCAGAGUAAUGAGUCUUCUGGCAGGCGUUGUUGAAGAGGAAGGCCGGUGUGGAACCAUGCAGAGGAGCAGACUGGGGCUCCUGGAUCUAAGCAUGAUCAAGAGUCCCGGAGAGGGCAUCUGCUACAAGACACAAAAAUAACCAUCCAGUGUCCUCGCCCAACCUCCCCUAGACCAGUGCUUUUCCAGCCUUCAUGUGCAAGAGAAUGACUAGGGGAUUGUGUUAAAAUGCAAAUUCCGAGUCCACAGAUCCAGGGCGGGGCCUGAGAGUCAGCAUUUCUAAAAGCUCCAGCGUGAUGCUGAGGCUGCUGUUGCUCUGACGGUGCUCUGAAUAGCAAACCCCGGUGGGGGUUAAGAUCUCACUCCCCUGAAAAAUACAUAUAAGCUCAUACACACAAGCCCUUCAUACCCUAUGGGAGUCACAUAGUCAUGAGAGGCCAUUCCCUUGUGGUUUGACCCCCCAGGAGAGUGACCCCUGCCCCACAUACUGUUGUCAAA
rnacentral:lncRNA from 1 species